rnacentral:lncRNA from 1 species
CCAACACCCAGGCACCAGGAAUCAUUUAGGAUAAAAGCGUUGCAAGCAAGUGCAAUAAUUUGCACUGUGAGAUGUCCAGGCUGGCUUCUUAGCAGAGUGCAUUAUAAGAGAAACAUCCAAGCAGCAGCUCAGAGCAUUCCAACUGCAGCUCUCAUAUGACUUGACUUCCCUCUUCCUGCUUUCAUGUUUUUCACUCAUCAGCUUGAACCACAUGCUGAGGACAUAAGAAAAGUGCCUGCAGUUCCAGGAUGGGAAGCCUGCCUUCCUUCAGGGUGUCAGGAUGUGUGGCAGUACCAGCUGUAGUAUGGUCUCAGUCCCACACCAGGUGCUACAUGCAGACACAGGUGCUCAGCAGAUCUCAGAUUAACGACCCGGCUGUUGGACGACUGCUGCCCCCAGCACAGGCUCUGCCUUGCACACCGCUGCAGAUCCCAGCUCCAUUCCUUUGUGGCGCUGCAGCUGCUUGCCUCCGGCACCGGUCUGAAGUUAAGGCCCGAGCUGUUUGGGGCUUCUGAAUCUGUUAAGAGCUCCUGGAAUUUCAUGUGCAUGCCUACAGCAACUGGAUUCUAUCAGCAACUCACACUAUCAGGAAGAGGGCUUCAUCAGAUGAGAGCAGACCUCCUGCUCACUGCCUCUAAGUUUGAAACCAGCUCUAAAGGGGAGAUAACAAAAAACAGCAAAAUCAGAGGAGCAGAGGUGUCUGGCAAGAACCUUAGGAAGCCUACUGGAAAGAAGGUUCUCAGUGGAUCUGGUUCCAUCACCACUACGUUUCAACCAGAUGCUGUCAUUCAGCAUUUCAAAGAGAAUCAGAAAGGUAACCUGAUGAAGACCUUAAAGAUAUAAAGGCCAACCAUGGAGGCAGGGGGUACUUAAAAACAGAUGCGAUGGAGUGAAUCCAGGUUUGCCCGUGAAACUUUGUUUUUUACAUGAGAAGAACGACAGCUUCAGUAUAUAAUAAAUCGCGAAUUUUUUAAGAGAACAAAAAGAGGUCUUUAAGCCGACCGAGAAAGAACGCAGCCAAAAGGAUCAAGCUGACCAUCGCAGGGCUAACUUACGAAGACCUCGCUGUUCGGUUCCACAUGAAAGACGCUCAAAAGGCAGGGCAACGGACGACAACACAGAGCCCUGGCACAGACUGGAGGCGCACCGACAGAGCAGACAGAGCUACGGGUGCAGCACCGCCGCACCGCUCUCCUCACGGCGCGGC